rnacentral:lncRNA from 1 species
AAGUCUAAGAACUUCAAGAAACUCAACCCAGGUAUGCAUAGUGUUCGUUCGUAAACUUCUUUCGUCCAUGAAUCCUAAGAAUUUCUUUUCUAGAAUUAUGAUUAUGGAUUUUCUUUUUGAAUUUGAUGUUGGGAUGCUAUUGUUCAUGUUUAUAAGGAGUAAUUGAAUUCUAUUCCAUGUUAAGUGAUAAAUUCCUUAUGGGUUUGGUUAGUAUAGAUAUAGAUUCAUGCAAACCUAUGACUAAACCCUUAAAUGAUAAAAUUAGAAUUGAAUCAU